CGCACAGCAAGUCUCUCGAUCGUGCGCAGAUUGAUGAGCCUUGUUGUGGUUGGCGAUGCGGAGCCACAUCAAACUUCUGUGAGUAAUGCUUGGGAACAUGCCUUGAGGUGGGGGACAACAGUUGGAAACGACUGCUAAUACCGCAUAAUGUCUACGGACCAAAGGGGGCUUCGGCUCUCGCCUUUAGAUUGGCCCAAGUGGGAUUAGCUAGUUGGUGAGGUAAUGGCUCACCAAGGCGACGAUCCCUAGCUGGUUUGAGAGGAUGAUCAGCCACACUGGGACUGAGACACGGCCCAGACUCCUACGGGAGGCAGCAGUGGGGAAUAUUGCACAAUGGGCGCAAGCCUGAUGCAGCCAUGCCGCGUGUGUGAAGAAGGCCUUCGGGUUGUAAAGCACUUUCAGUCAGGAGGAAAGGUUAGUAGUUAAUACCUGCUAGCUGUGACGUUACUGACAGAAGAAGCACCGGCUAACUCCGUGCCAGCAGCCGCGGUAAUACGGAGGGUGCGAGCGUUAAUCGGAAUUACUGGGCGUAAAGCGUACGCAGGCGGUUUGUUAAGCGAGAUGUGAAAGCCCCGGGCUCAACCUGGGAACUGCAUUUCGAACUGGCAAACUAGAGUGUGAUAGAGGGUGGUAGAAUUUCAGGUGUAGCGGUGAAAUGCGUAGAGAUCUGAAGGAAUACCGAUGGCGAAGGCAGCCACCUGGGUCAACACUGACGCUCAUGUACGAAAGCGUGGGGAGCAAACAGGAUUAGAUACCCUGGUAGUCCACGCCGUAAACGAUGUCUACUAGAAGCUCGGAGCCUCGGUUCUGUUUUUCAAAGCUAACGCAUUAAGUAGACCGCCUGGGGAGUACGGCCGCAAGGUUAAAACUCAAAUGAAUUGACGGGGGCCCGCACAAGCGGUGGAGCAUGUGGUUUAUUUCGAUGCAACGCGAAGAACCUUACCUACACUUGACAUACAGAGAACUUACUAGAGAUAGUUUGGUGCCUUCGGGAACUCUGAUACAGUGCUGCAUGGCUGUCGUCAGCUCGUGUUGUG
rnacentral:rRNA from 1 species